rnacentral:rRNA from 1 species
AGAAUAUUAUUUAUAUUAUUUAGGAUAAAGUUGUUAAUUAAAAUAAUUUUAGUGGUUGAUUUUUAUGUAUAGUUUAUAGAAAUUAUAAGGUGAAUAAUAGAGAAUAAGUACUGUGGAGGAAAUAUGAAAUAGAUGAAAUAGUUAUUAGGGUAAAAGAAGAAUGGUAUUUGUACCUUGGGUAUCAGGGUUUAUUAAUUAAUGAUAAUGAUUUAUGAUUCUCGAAUUAAAAAGAGUUAAAAUGAUAUGGUAGUUAAUGUGUUAUUAUUAUUGGGAAUAUUAUUUUAGGGAUGAAAUGUUAAGCGUUUUUUAAGUUAUCUGGUUUUUCAAGAAAUGAAUUUAAUUCAUGUUAUUAGAAGUAAAAUAUUAAUUGAUAUUAAUAGUUUAUUUUUAGUGGUAAAUGUAUAAAGGGAUAAGCUUUUAUGUAUAAACUAUAAGUUAUGAUAUUUAUAAAGAGUUGUAGGCUUUAAAUUAGCUAUCAAUAGGAUAAUGUUAUAAAUUGUUUUGUAAUUAAAUUAUUUUUUUAUGGUUUUAGUUUAUAUAUUGAAAUAUUAUAUUAAAUGGGUUAAUAUAAGUGAUGAUGAUAAAAUAAGUAUAUAGAAUUUGUUUAUAUAAUUUUUUUUUUGAAAUUUGUAAUAAGGAACUAGGCAAAUAUAUCACUCGCCUGUUUAUCAAAAACAUCUCCUUUUGUAUUUAUGUAAGGUAGGGCCUGCCCACUGAAAGUUAUUUGAAGGGCCGCAGUAUUAUGACUGUGCAAAGGUAGCAUAAUCAUUAGUCUUUUAAUUGAAGGCUGGAAUGAAUGGUUUGACGAGGUGAUAACUGUCUCAUUAUGAUAUAUAGAAGUUAACUUUUAAGUUAAAAGGCUUAGAUUUUAAUGGAGGACGAGAAGACCCUUUAGAGCUUUAUAUAUAAGUUUAGAUUUGUAUUUAGGGGUUUAUAAAAAUUUGGAUUGAUUAUAUUGUGUUGGGGUGACAUAAAGAUAAAAUUAACUCUUUAUUUUAGGGACAUUGAUGUAUGGACUUUUGAUCCAUUUUUAGUGAUUAUAAGAUUAAGUUACCUUAGGGAUAACAGCGUAAUUUUUCUUGAGAGUUCAUAUCAACAGAGAAGAUUGCGACCUCGAUGUUGGAUUAAGGAAUAUAAUUAGAUGCAGCAGUUUAGUUAAUAGGUCUGUUCGACCUUUAAAUCCUUACAUGAUCUGAGUUCAGACCGGUGUAAGCCAGGUCGGUUUCUAUCCUCAUUGGUAUUUUAUACUUUAGUACGAAAGGACCAAGUAUUUUAAAUAUUUUAUUGUGUUUGAUUAUUAUUA